AGCAUGCUUGUUGUUUAAGUUAAGGCCUGGGUUAUCCGCGGAUGAUUGGUAGCCCACCAAUAGGCUUACGUUUUGGAACUUGAUAUCAGUGAAGCUAGCAUGAACAAGACUGGGAAAACUGGAGAGUCUGUUGACUGUGAGAAUGAAUUAUGGUCAGUCAAUCCCCAGGAGCAAGUAGACUUCAGAGCCAGUGUGGCCCGGCCUGCAGGCUGGGAGGCUGCCUGCCGCCACCAGCUGGCCAGCUGCUCGGACGCUGGUCGGCGUGCACUCUUGCUCAACCGGCUGGGCCAGCUGCUCUAUGGCCAGGUGCGGUUUGACGAGGCGUCGGCGGCUUACACGGAGGCGCUGAGUGAGGACCCGCGCCUCGCGGCGGCUGCACAUAAUCGGGCCACCAUCAGCUACAGGAUGGGUGAGCAGAGCGGGCCCGGUGUGAUGGGAUGGUGCGCGUGGUAUGAUGUGGCCGCGGAGGGUUGUCCCAUAUUCAGCUGUUAGCUACGGUUCAGGUAAUUAUAUUUCUCUAGCCACUUGAUCUUUGUGCUGCGAGUGUAGUGUUUGUCUGCUGGCUGAGUUUGUUUUCAGCUUGAGGCCUUUAUGAAACGAAGUCCGAAAUGCGCUGUGAACCCUACGUUUCGCCGCGCUCGUCACUGUGUGUGCCGUCCGACCACCAGUUCCAAGCCCUGCCUGCCUGUCAUC